rnacentral:hammerhead_ribozyme from 1 species
GUUCAACUGACGAGUCCCAAAUAGGACGAAACUCGCAUCUUGGAU